rnacentral:rRNA from 1 species
AUGAAUAAUGCUCUACUUGCUCCUUAUUCCGCGGAAGAUGUUCGCAAGGCUUUAUUUGAUAUUGGGGACCUGAAAGCUCCAGGGCCAGAUGAACUCCAUGCCAUUUUCUACAAAAGGUUCUGGCCCAUGAUGGGGGAAGACCUAAUUGAGGAGGUUUUGAAAGCAAUCAAUACAUGUACUAUCCCGAAUGGAUGGAAUGAUACGGAAAUUGUGAUGAUUCCUAAGAUUAAUACACCAGAAAAGGUAACUCAAUUUAGGCCGAUCAGCUUAUGUAAUGUGGUGUACAAAAUAGUUGCAAAAUUGGUGGCUUCUCGACUGAAGACUUUUCUACCAGAAAUCAUUAGCCCAACACAAAGUGCAUUCGUACCGGGUAGAUUGAUAACGGACAAUAUUUUAGUGGCCUACGAAUAUUUUCACACAAUCAAGAAUAAAAGAGAGGGUAGAGAGGGUUUGUGUGCUAUAAAACUUGACAUGCACAAAGCUUACGAUAGAGUCGAGUGGGUUUUUUCAAAGGAGAUUAUGUUGAAGUUGGGUUUUCGUCGAGAGUGGGUUAAUUUGGUUAUGCAAUGCCUCACAACUGUAGAAUCCAAAGUAAGGAUUAACGCUGAGGAAAGUGAGAGUUUUCAGCUUACUAGAGGGCUGAGGCAGGGGGACCCGCUAUCACCAUACCUCUUUCUGCUAUGCACGGAAGGGUUGAAUGCUUUGCUCUUGCAUGCUGAGGAGAACGGGAAAAUAUCAGGAGUUAAAGUUUGUAGAGACGCCCCGCCUGUUACAAAUCUUCUCUUUGCGGAUGAUUCAUUGAUUUUGAUGAAAGCCAACCAACAUAAUGCGUCGGCCCUGAAAUCAGUACUAGAUUUAUAUUGUGCGGUGUCGGGACAACUGGUAAGCGUGGAAAAGUCCAGUAUUUUCUUUAGCCCUAAUACAAAGGUUGAGAUCAGAGAACAAAUGUGUACAAUGCUAAAUAUAAUGACCGAGGCCCUGAAUGACAAAUACUUGGGCUUGCCAGCAAACGUGGGUGUUGAUAAAACAUAUUGCUUUAAAUUUUUGAUUGAACGUAUUGUUAAGAAAAUUAGUGGUUGGAAGGAAAAAUUACUAUCUGUCGGAGGGAAGGAGAUCCUGCUCAAGGCUGUGAUCCAAGCCAUACCUACCUAUGCAAUGUCAGUCUUUAAAAUUCUUAAAAAUUUUUGUAAAGGAAUCAUCGACGCGAUUGCGCUUUUUUGGUGGGGAGACGAGGAGAACCAGAGGAGGAUGCACUGGAUGGCCUGGUGA